GUCAACAGAAACAUCUAGAUGUGCUUGUUCCAGAAGGCUUUUCGUGUUUUGCUUUGUGUCCUGCGAUGGCCUGCUCAUACGCUCAGCUGGAUCUCCACUUGGCAGCACCUUUUGGUCUAAUCAUGUUGCAAUGCAGCAGUUUUUACUCCACCUCCAUUUGGAGCUGGAUUUUACCUGCUGGAUCAGGCCUUCUCGAGGGAGCGAGAGAGCACCACCACGCUCUCAAGCCUUGUGUCUCCUCGCACACCUUGAAAAGCACUUCUGCUCGGGAUCGCUUUGACAGAAACAGCGAGCACGGCGCGCUCUGAGUACUGUCAGGGAUCUGCAGGAGGUCGUGAUCAAGGUCACCUUGGCAGCUAUCUUCAAUCAACAUGAAAACGCAGGAAGUUCAGGUGGAAGGAAUGCAUGAAAGUUGAAGUCAAAAGAAAAUGAUUUCUUUGCCUUGCCAGAGCAAGUCUUCUAAGCAGAAGUAGCUUUUAAGCCAUUAGAAGCUACUGAGUGCGACAACCAAAUGACCUAUAGCCCAGGCGGAGCACUCGAGCAGCCAGUGGCCAUCGGCCGUCUGGAUUUUGGCCUUUACGGAGGGCCCAUCCUGCCUGGCUGUCACCUGGCCUGUGAGAGAGACCUCCAUCUGCCCUGCCUGGCGGUGGUGAUGAUGUGGUCCACCUCGAGUCAUAGGCAGGAAAACCAGCUGAACGAUUCCUCUGUGCUUGGGAAGCCAAAGCCAUCUGAUGUUACCAGAAAUGACCAUUAUUGAAGACUUUGUUUGGCCUUUGAAUUGGUGCAUUGACCCAGUUUUCAAAAUGAAGUAAGUUGCCCACAUAAAAAAAAUCAGCUCUUUAAUGGACAUUUUUGCCCACUGACUUCUGUAUUUUUCUUCAAGUGUAAUAAAGCUUUCCUUAAAAGUGAUAAAGGCU